CAUGUACUCCCUCCGUCCAACAAUAAUGUCUCAAAUUUGAAUGCAUCUAUACAAUAAGUCAUGUCUAGAUACAUUUAAUUUUUGACAAAUUUGAGACAUCUUUUGUUGGACGGAGGGAGUACAUG
rfam:Brachypodium distachyon strain Bd21 chromosome 1, whole genome shotgun sequence.